rnacentral:rRNA from 1 species
AGUGAACGCUGGCGGCAUGCCUAACACAUGCAAGUCGAACGAGACCUUCGGGUCUAGUGGCGCACGGGUGCGUAACGCGUGGGAAUCUACCCUUGGGUUCGGAAUAACAGUUAGAAAUGACUGCUAAUACCGGAUGAUGACGAAAGUCCAAAGAUUUAUCGCCCAAGGAUGAGCCCGCGUAGGAUUAGCUAGUUGGUGAG